rnacentral:rRNA from 2 species
GGGCGUAAGCGCGCGCAGGCGGUUUCUUAAGUCUGAUGUGAAAGCCCACGGCUCAACCGUGGAGGGUCAUUGGAAACUGGGGAACUUGAGUGCAGAAGAGAAAAGCGGAAUUCCACGUGUAGCGGUGAAAUGCGUAGAGAUGUGGAGGAACACCAGUGGCGAAGGCGGCUUUUUGGUCUGUAACUGACGCUGAGGCGCGAAAGCGUGGGGAGCAAACAGGAUUAGAUACCCUGGUAGUCCACGCCGUAAACGAUGAGUGCUAAGUGUUAGAGGGUUUCCGCCCUUUAGUGCUGCAGCUAACGCAUUAAGCACUCCGCCUGGGGAGUCCGGACGCAAGACUGAAACUCAAAGAAAUUGACGGGGG